GCUGGUGCAGUGCUGAGCGCCUGUGCUCCCAGCUGCUCAGGAGGCUGAGGCAGGAGGACGGCUUGAGCCCAGGAACUGGGAGCCAGCCAGGGCAGCAAAGUGAGGUCCUGUCUCUC
rnacentral:sRNA from 1 species